ACAUCACAAAACCAGGGGGCGUUCCCCAGCCAAUACCGAGCCGUGAGCAUAAAAUACCAGGAAAUGUUCUUUAAACAGCUCAGCACAGUCACUGCUCCCAGAACCACAGCCGCCGUUUUCUCACUGCAAUAUUUACUUUUCAGCUUCUGGCAACAAAUGGCCACAAACCGAUCAAAGGUGAAAGUGACGGUGAACCAGACAGAGCAGUCAGUGGCUGCAUAAAGCAGGACGGCGUGGAUAUUACACACGGGGACGGAGUACCUCAGGAAAUAAAACUGUUCCCGAUAAACAAUGGGAAUGUGUCUCAGGAUCAGGUCGAGGAUAAUGACCAGGAGAUCCGCCGCUGCCAUGGCCCCCAGGUAUCUGUGUUAGCUGUCUGGAUACAGAAUUGGCUGGCCAGCAGAAGACAGCGAGUGGUAGUGGAAGGAAAAUAUUCUGCCUGGAAGUCUGUGGGACAUAUAAACAUAUCUUCAAAGCGACCGAGACCAUUUCCUGCUCAGGGUAUGGCUCUGUGUAUGACAGCAGCAAUGAUGCACCGACAUGGAACAGGGAAUGUGAUGGAGACAUAGUUUGGACAAUGUACAAGGAGACCUCACAUGGUCCAGUUUGGGAGAGAAUGACAUUAUUGUGUGAUUCAGCUCAGAGAGGGAGAAAAUGUCACCUGCCAGAGAAGAAACGGCCUAUUGCACUCUCUCUCCUUCAUUAUUCCUCAUCACAGUAACGUGUGCGAGCUAAAACAAAACUCUACUGUCAUCGUUACCAUUCUUAUUUUUAUACAAUCCCAGCAGUGUGGAAACAAGCCCUUCGGCCCAACAAGUCCAUACUAACCCUCCAAUCAGUAACCUUCCCAUGCCCUUACAGUUACCAUUGACUAGUGCACCUAAAGUAGAAAUCGCUGAACACUAUGGACUAUUUGACCAAUCCACUUGAAUUAUACAGCUUUGGGCUGUGGGAGGAAAUGGGAGCACCCAUCAGAAGCUCACACAGACAAGGGGAGAAGAUGCAAACUCCACGCAGAUAGUCUCCCGAGGCUGGAAUUGAACACAUGUCCCUGAUGCUGUGAUGGAACAGUGCGAACUACUGAGCCACUGUGCUAACCUGGGACCUCCUGCCAGCCUAAUGCAAAGGGAAUUCCGCCAAAUCCAACUCUCCCAGGAUAAAAUCCCAUUGCUAGCAGCUGUGUGAGUACAAUAUCUUCAGAAGCAGAGUAACAUUUUGGACAAUCUCUCAAUUUUUCCUUUUGUCAUUAGUUACACUAAUAUUUGGACAAGGUUCUUUCAAUGUGAAAUUGCAGAGAUAGUGUGUGUGUGUGUGUGUGUGUGUGUGUGUGUGUGUGUGUUUUUAGAAAGGGAAAUAUUGAUUAUGUAUUUGCAAUACCCAAACAGUUUGCCAUCCAUCUUUCCAUCAUAGUUGGAGUAACAUUGCUCUGGAUCAUAAACGUGCUAUUUGAGCAGAUUACAGAAACCAGCCUGACUUGUUCCUAAAACUGACCCUGACCCAGUCUGAGACCGAUAUCAUCGGCUAUAUCACCGACCUGGUUACAUUUAACAUUUGUUGUGAGCAGUGGAGGAGUGGGACUAGAAAAGGAAACAGUGACCCAAAAAGCCGGGGAACUGUAGACCGGUGAGCCUGAUGUCAGUGGUGGGUAAGUUGUUGGAGGGGAUUCUGAGGGAUAGCAUUUACAUACAUUUGGGAAGGUAAGGGCUGAUCGGGGUAGACAACGUGGCUUUCUGCAUGGGAAAUCAUGUCUCAUUAAUUUGAUUGAGUUUUAUGAAGAGGUGACAAAGAAGAUUGAUGAUGGCAGUUUGGUAGACAUUGUCAAUAUGGACCUCAGCAAGGUGUUCACAACAUUCUGAUUGGUAGGCAGAUUAGUAAGGUUCGGUCACAUGGGAUACAGAGGAAGCUCGUCACAAUUGGCUUGAAGGAAGAGGGAUAUUUUUCAGACUGGAGGCUUGUGAGCAGCAGUGUGCUGUAAGAAUCAGUAUUGAGUUCACAAAACAUUUCAUCAUUUAUGUAAAGGAUUUAGAUGUGGAUAUUGGGACCACAGUUAGUAAGUUUACAGACAACAUCAGAAAGGUGGUGUAGUAGAUUAUCUCAGAGUACAACGAGACCACAAAUAGAUGGGACAAAGGGGCAAGGAGUGACAGAUGAAGUUUAAUUUAGAUAAAUACGAAGUUAAGCAUUUUGGGAAGGUAAAUCAGGGCAGGAAUUACAUACUUAAUGGUAAGGGCCUGGUGAGUGUUGUGAAACAAAUGGACAUAGAGCUGCAGGUACAUUGUUCCUUGAAAGUGGAGUCGAAUGCAGACAGUGUGGUACAGAACAAAUUUUACAAAUUUGCCUUAAUCAGUCA